rnacentral:tRNA from 1 species
ACCCCCCUAGUAUAACGGUACAAGCGACUUCCACUCACUAGGGCCCACAAAUGUGGGGGGGGGUA